CAAUGCACUAGAGAGAAAAAACGCACUUUGCUCACGUGAAUUAUGCCUGUCGGUUACUUUGCGACUCUGCAAAAUAAUCCGUUUCCGUGAAAAAUCAGGGAAAACCGUUUAUGCUAAUUAAGCUUCAUGACACUGAAAAAAACAACUGGCAAUGGCAAAUCGAAGAUUUUGAAGUUAAUUAAGAAACAUUUCCGUCGAUUAUUUUCCACCAAUGAACGUGUUGGAAUCAUAAAUUUGGUGACAUCUUGAGAUCUGCAGUAUAAUUUGUGGCACAGACAGAUGGACGGACUGAAAAACAGGAAGCGCUAAUUAAAAAAUUUUGGAAAUUGGUGGUCCAAACAAAUAAUCGAAAACGUUUAUUUUACGUCAUAGGGGCGGUAUCGGAUGCUCCACUCUCUACAAAGGAUUAUACAGGGUGGAUGACUUCAAAACAGCAUUUUUUUGUGUUAUCCAAAAUUAUAAAAAGAAUCUAGAGUCAUACUUUACUAUCAAUGAGCC